CAAUAGCGUAUAUUAAAGUUGUUGCAGUUAAAAAGCUCGUAGUUGGAUUUCGGGCGGGUGACGGCGGUCCGCCUCUGGUGUGCACUGCCGGCAUCCGCCUUUCUGUCGGGGACGGGCUCCUGGGCUUCAUUGCUUGGGACUCGGGUUCGACGUGGUUACUUUGAGUAAAUUAGAGUGUUCAAAGCAGGCGAUCGCCCUGAAUACAUUAGCAUGGAAUAGCACGAUAGGACUCUGGCCUAUUUUGCUGGUCUGUAGGACCGGAGUAAUGAUUAAGAGGGACAGUCGGGGGCAUUCGUAUUUCAUUGUCAGAGGUGAAAUUCUUGGAUUUAUGGAAGACGAACAUCUGCGAAAGCAUUUGCCAAGGAUGUUUNCAUUGA
rnacentral:rRNA from 1 species